UGCAGUGUGGCGCAAUGGUUAGUGCGUUGGGCUGGUAGGCACAAGGUCAAAGGUUCAACUCCUGGUUGUGAAC